UACGUAGGGGGCAAGCGUUGUCCGGAAUCAUUGGGCGUAAAGAGCGUGUAGGCGGCUCGGUAAGUCCGCUGUGAAAGUCCAGGGCUCAACCCUGGAAUGCCGGUGGAAACUGUCGAGCUAGAGUCUGGAAGAGGCGAGUGGAAUUCCUGGUGUAGCGGUGAAAUGCGCAGAUAUCAGGAAGAACACCCGUGGCGAAGGCGGCUCUCUGGAACGCAACUGACGCUGAGACGCGAAAGCGUGGGGAGCAAACAGG
rnacentral:rRNA from 1 species